UGCGUUACACGUGCGAUAAGAUUGCGGC
rnacentral:sRNA from 1 species